rnacentral:rRNA from 1 species
AUUGAACGCUGGCGGCAUGCCUAACACAUGCAAGUCGAGCGGAUGAAGGGAGCUUGCUCCUGGAUUCAGCGGCGGACGGGUGAGGAAUGCCUAGGAAUCUGCCUGGUAGUGGGGGAUAACGUCCGGAAACGGGCGCUAAUACCGCAUACGUCCUGAGGGAGAUAGUGGGGGAUCUUCGGACCUCACGCUAUCAGAUGAGCCUAGGUCGGAUUAGCUAGUUGGUGGGGUAAAGGCCUACCAAGGCGACGAUCCGUAACUGGUCUGAGAGGAUGAUCAGUCACACUGGAACUGAGACACGGUCCAGACUCCUACGGGAGGCAGCAGUGGGGAAUAUUGGACAAUGGGCGAAAGCCUGAUCCAGCCAUGCCGCGUGUGUGAAGAAGGUCUUCGGAUUGUAAAGCACUUUAAGUUGGGAGGAAGGGCAGUAAGUUAAUACCUUGCUGUUUUGACGUUACCAACAGAAUAAGCACCGGCUAACUUCGUG